rnacentral:rRNA from 1 species
UAUGUAGGGUGCAAGCGUUGUCCGGAAUUAUUGGGCGUAAAGAGCGUGUAGGCGGCUCGAUAAGUCUGCUGUGAAAGUCCAGGGCUCAACCCUGGAAAGCCGGUGGAUACUGGAUGGCUAGAGUACGGAAGAGGCGAGUGGAAUUCCUGGUGUAGCGGUGGAAUGCGCAGAUAUCAGGAGGAACACCAAUAGCGAAGGCAGCUCGCUGGGACGUUACUGACACUGAGGCGCGAAAGCGUGGGGAGCGAACAGG